AACACUUCUCGACUUUUUGGCUACCGUCUAGUGUAGUAUCUGUUCUUAUCAGAUUAAUUUCGAAUAUACCCCCUAUCUGGGGACCAUAUAUUAAAUGGAUUUUUGAGAACUGGGGCUGCUUUGGAAGCUUACUUCUGGCACCUUUAGGCUUUGAUGGCAAUAUCUUCGGGUACAGUGCGCCACUU